rnacentral:rRNA from 1 species
GACAGAGGGUGCAAACGUUGUUCGGAAUUACUGGGCGUAAAGCGUGCGCAGGCGGUGAUGUAAGACCGAUGUGAAAUCCCCGGGCUUAACCUGGGAACUGCAUUGGUGACUGCAUUGCUGGAGUAUGGCAGAGGGGGGUGGAAUUCCACGUGUAGCAGUGAAAUGCGUAGAGAUGUGGAGGAACACCGAUGGCGAAGGCAGCCCCCUGGGUCAAGAUUGACGCUCAUGCACGAAAGCGUGGGGAGCAAACAGG